rnacentral:ncRNA from 1 species
CUAGACAUGCCCACGUCACCCUUCCUAGGAUAUUUACCCUUUCCUAGAAAUUGUCGUGGGCAUUAAAAA